rnacentral:lncRNA from 1 species
GAGGAGGGACCCGGCGGCGCGGCGUGGGUCGGGAGCGGGCGCCUGGGACUACUUCUCGUUUGAAAGUUUUCAGAGGCCAAAAGUUUGAGCCGGGGCUGCGGAAGGAUCCGGCUCUGGCGGUUGCCGCGCUCGGCGACAACUGGCGACUGAAAUUUGCAUGGAAGAGAGUGGCCCAUUCGGUGUCCACCCGUCAGGCCACCCAGCAGCCAGGCACGCUCAUAAGCCCGCGUUACGGAUGGUGCGGCCGGGUGCACAGGCCCGAGGGAAGCACAGGCCUCGGCCUCCCAGCUCCCAACCCCUGCACCACCCACAGCCGGGAGUACCCCAUGGACAGCUGUGGCCGAGGAGAAGCCAGGGAUGAGGGGGAUGGGCCUCACCUCCCCACCAGCCUGGGAAGGGGGUAGGCCCCUGGCAAGUAGGGAAAUGGGGGUACCAUUGUCAGGGUGAGCUAAGGAGGCCCUGCUGACAUUGGCCCAACCAGGCCCCUCCUUUGCGGCUGCUGUGGGGACUUUCGAGAGCAGAGCACACCCCUAAGUGCGUGGAGAGGGGAGGGAAGCUGAGGCUCAGAGACAUCAUGAGGAUGCCAGCUCAAGGCCCAGCCAGGCCUUGGUCCUCAGCUGCUGUCAUCCAGUAGGGUAAGUGGGACCCCCAGGAGGUGUUGGGGGACACUCCUCCCCUCCCCCACACUCACAGUCUGUUCACCGCCCAAGGCAGCAGGCUGGACUCGGUGCAGGGACCAUGGCUUGGCGUGGCCAGGUUGGAGUGGCCCCUGGGACUGAAAGCAGGGGGCGUGGGGGCUCUGAGGCGGGGCCGAGUGCGGGGACGUCCUGUGGCGGGUACCCUGCUGGGUCCUGGGUGGGGGCCACCUCAAGCCCAGAGGCCUCCAGGGUGUCCAGCCUCCAGGGUGCCUCCUACGCAGCCUCCACGUCCCCAUCCACUGCAGCCCCUGACCAUCGGGCACACCGUGGGGCCUUCGCUGGCCGCCGGGCCUCAGGUUCUGCUGCACCAAGUGAUUUUUAAAGCCCCAUCUGCCUUUCUCCACUUAUAAAGAACUUGGGACAUUUCCUCGAGGUUGGGCAUUUUUCCAGAUGUGGUUUCAGUGUCUCGCUUGCUACCUGGUCCCCUGUGCUGGGCGGUCCGCUGUGACGCACCUGGCAGUCCUUGCUCUAGGAUGGAUUCGGGCCGGCCCUUGUUCUGAGAACAGAGAACGGCCCU